AUUGAACGCUGGCGGCAUGCUUUACACAUGCAAGUCGAACGGCAGCGGGGGCUUCGGCCUGCCGGCGAGUGGCGAACGGGUGAGUAAUGCAUCGGAACGUGCCCAUGUCGUGGGGGAUAACUACGCGAAAGCGUGGCUAAUACCGCAUACGCCCUGAGGGGGAAAGCGGGGGAUCUUUCGGGACCUCGCGCGAUUGGAGCGGCCGAUGUCGGAUUAGCUAGUUGGUGGGGGAAAGGCUCACCAAGGCGACGAUCCGUAGCUGGGCUGUGAGGAUGAUCAGGCACACUGGGACUGGGACACGGCCCAGACUCGUACGGGAGGCAGCAGUGGGGAAUUUUGGACAAUGGGCGCAAGCCUGAUCCAGCCAUGCCGCGUGAGUGAAGAAGGCCUUCGGGUUGUAAAGCUCUUUCGGCCGGGAAGAAAUCGCAUUCUCUAAUAUAGGAUGUGGAUGACGGUACCGGACUAAGAAGCACCGGCUAACUACGUGCCAGCAGCCGCCGUAAAAC
rnacentral:rRNA from 1 species